rnacentral:rRNA from 1 species
GAAAGAUGAAAAGAACUUUGAAAAGAGAGUUAAACAGUACGUGAAAUUGUUGAAAGGGAAACGAUUAAAGUCAGUCGUACCUACGAGUGAUCAACCUACUCGAGUGCGAUUUUGUGGGUAUGUUAGAGCUUAAAAACCUUCAUGCUUACAAAUUGGUGCUCUUUGGGCGUACUUUCUCGUAUGGUAGGUUAACAUCAAUUUCGAUCGUUAUAAAAUGACUGGAGGAAUGUAGCUUCGACCUCGGUUGAAGUGUUAUA